UGUGGCAGACAGCCGAUCAUUUACUGGAUCUGCCUUUGUCACUCACUGCACCUUUUUUCUUCCUUGUGUUUUUUUUCCGUGGUAACAUUUGCAAUGGCUGAAAAAUUCAAAUUCUCUCGGCUGGGUGUAAUCUAUGUUGCCCUAGCUCUUAUCUCUUCUGCAACAUCAGAAGCAACAGGAACAACCGAAGCUUCUGCAACAGCACCUGCACCAACAACCGAAGCUC